UACGUAGGGGGCUAGCGUUGUCCGGAAUCAUUGGGCGUAAAGAGCGUGUAGGCGGUCCGGUAAGUCCGCUGUGAAAACUCGAGGCUUAACCUCGAGCUGUCGGCGGAAACCAUCUGGCUAGAGUCCGGAAGAGGAGAAUGGAAUUCCCGGUGUAGCGGUGAAAUGCGCAGAUAUCGGGAAGAACACCCGUGGCGAAGGCGGUUCUCUGGGACGGUACUGACGCUGAGACGCGAAAGCGUGGGGAGCGAACAGG
rnacentral:rRNA from 1 species